GGGUUGUGAGGUUAAGCGACUAAGCGUACACGGUGGAUGCCCUGGCAGUCAGAGGCGAUGAAGGACGUGCUAAUCUGCGAUAAGCGUCGGUAAGGUGAUAUGAACCGUUAUAACCGGCGAUUUCCGAAUGGGGAAACCCAGUGUGUUUCGACACACUAUCAUUAACUGAAUCCAUAGGUUAAUGAGGCGAACCGGGGGAACUGAAACAUCUAAGUACCCCGAGGAAAAGAAAUCAACCGAGAUUCCCCCAGUAGCGGCGAGCGAACGGGGAGCAGCCCAGAGCCUGAAUCAGUGUGUGUGUUAGUGGAAGCGUCUGGAAAGGCGCGCGAUACAGGGUGACAGCCCCGUACACAAAAAUGCACAUAUUGUGAGCUCGAUGAGUAGGGCGGGACACGUGGUAUCCUGUCUGAAUAUGGGGGGACCAUCCUCCAAGGCUAAAUACUCCUGACUGACCGAUAGUGAACCAGUACCGUGAGGGAAAGGCGAAAAGAACCCCGGCGAGGGGAGUGAAAAAGAACCUGAAACCGUGUACGUACAAGCAGUGGGAGCCUCUUUUAUGGGGUGACUGCGUACCUUUUGUAUAAUGGGUCAGCGACUUAUAUUCUGUAGCAAGGUUAACCGAAUAGGGGAGCCGAAGGGAAACCGAGUCUUAACUGGGCGUUAAGUUGCAGGGUAUAGACCCGAAACCCGGUGAUCUAGCCAUGGGCAGGUUGAAGGUUGGGUAACACUAACUGGAGGACCGAACCGACUAAUGUUGAAAAAUUAGCGGAUGACUUGUGGCUGGGGGUGAAAGGCCAAUCAAACCGGGAGAUAGCUGGUUCUCCCCGAAAGCUAUUUAGGUAGCGCCUCGUGAAUUCAUCUCCGGGGGUAGAGCACUGUUUCGGCAAGGGGGUCAUCCCGACUUACCAACCCGAUGCAAACUGCGAAUACCGGAGAAUGUUAUCACGGGAGACACACGGCGGGUGCUAACGUCCGUCGUGAAGAGGGAAACAACCCAGACCGCCAGCUAAGGUCCCAAAGUCAUGGUUAAGUGGGAAACGAUGUGGGAAGGCCCAGACAGCCAGGAUGUUGGCUUAGAAGCAGCCAUCAUUUAAAGAAAGCGUAAUAGCUCACUGGUCGAGUCGGCCUGCGCGGAAGAUGUAACGGGGCUAAACCAUGCACCGAAGCUGCGGCAGCGACACUAUGUGUUGUUGGGUAGGGGAGCGUUCUGUAAGCCUGUGAAGGUGUGCUGUGAGGUAUGCUGGAGGUAUCAGAAGUGCGAAUGCUGACAUAAGUAACGAUAAAGCGGGUGAAAAGCCCGCUCGCCGGAAGACCAAGGGUUCCUGUCCAACGUUAAUCGGGGCAGGGUGAGUCGACCCCUAAGGCGAGGCCGAAAGGCGUAGUCGAUGGGAAACAGGUUAAUAUUCCUGUACUUGGUGUUACUGCGAAGGGGGGACGGAGAAGGCUAUGUUGGCCGGGCGACGGUUGUCCCGGUUUAAGCGUGUAGGCUGGUUUUCCAGGCAAAUCCGGAAAAUCAAGGCUGAGGCGUGAUGACGAGGCACUACGGUGCUGAAGCAACAAAUGCCCUGCUUCCAGGAAAAGCCUCUAAGCAUCAGGUAACAUCAAAUCGUACCCCAAACCGACACAGGUGGUCAGGUAGAGAAUACCAAGGCGCUUGAGAGAACUCGGGUGAAGGAACUAGGCAAAAUGGUGCCGUAACUUCGGGAGAAGGCACGCUGAUAUGUAGGUGAAGCGACUUGCUCGUGGAGCUGAAAUCAGUCGAAGAUACCAGCUGGCUGCAACUGUUUAUUAAAAACACAGCACUGUGCAAACACGAAAGUGGACGUAUACGGUGUGACGCCUGCCCGGUGCCGGAAGGUUAAUUGAUGGGGUCAGCGCAAGCGAAGCUCUUGAUCGAAGCCCCGGUAAACGGCGGCCGUAACUAUAACGGUCCUAAGGUAGCGAAAUUCCUUGUCGGGUAAGUUCCGACCUGCACGAAUGGCGUAAUGAUGGCCAGGCUGUCUCCACCCGAGACUCAGUGAAAUUGAACUCGCUGUGAAGAUGCAGUGUACCCGCGGCAAGACGGAAAGACCCCGUGAACCUUUACUAUAGCUUGACACUGAACAUUGAGCCUUGAUGUGUAGGAUAGGUGGGAGGCUUUGAAGUGUGGACGCCAGUCUGCAUGGAGCCGACCUUGAAAUACCACCCUUUAAUGUUUGAUGUUCUAACGUUGACCCGUGAUCCGGGUUGCGGACAGUGUCUGGUGGGUAGUUUGACUGGGGCGGUCUCCUCCUAAAGAGUAACGGAGGAGCACGAAGGUUGGCUAAUCCUGGUCGGACAUCAGGAGGUUAGUGCAAUGGCAUAAGCCAGCUUGACUGCGAGCGUGACGGCGCGAGCAGGUGCGAAAGCAGGUCAUAGUGAUCCGGUGGUUCUGAAUGGAAGGGCCAUCGCUCAACGGAUAAAAGGUACUCCGGGGAUAACAGGCUGAUACCGCCCAAGAGUUCAUAUCGACGGCGGUGUUUGGCACCUCGAUGUCGGCUCAUCACAUCCUGGGGCUGAAGUAGGUCCCAAGGGUAUGGCUGUUCGCCAUUUAAAGUGGUACGCGAGCUGGGUUUAGAACGUCGUGAGACAGUUCGGUCCCUAUCUGCCGUGGGCGCUGGAGAACUGAGGGGGGCUGCUCCUAGUACGAGAGGACCGGAGUGGACGCAUCACUGGUGUUCGGGUUGUCAUGCCAAUGGCACUGCCCGGUAGCUAAAUGCGGAAGAGAUAAGUGCUGAAAGCAUCUAAGCACGAAACUUGCCCCGAGAUGAGUUCUCCCUGACCCUUUAAGAGUCCUGAAGGAACGUUGAAGACGACGACGUUGAUAGGCCGGGUGUGUAAGCGCAGCGAUGCGUUGAGCUAACCGGUACUAAUGAACCGUGAGGCUUAACCUUACAACGCCGAAGCUGUU
rnacentral:rRNA from 1 species